ensembl:lncRNA
AAAUGUGCUGCUCUGCUUGUGCCCAGCUGGGCUUCUGAUUGCCAGCAGUGCAGAUAGCAGGUGCUUCCUGACCUUGGUGUCUGGGAGGAGGCUUGGUUGCUGUGGUUUAGAAGACUCUCAUAAAGUCUUUGUUAUAUCCAAAGCUCCUGGUGAGGAUAUGAAGGAAUUCAGGAUGACAGUUUCAGUGUCUUAUCCAAACAGACGUGUAUUGGAAAAGGACUAGAGAAAUGGUGACAGCAGAUUCAGUUUCAGGGAUGUGUUUCCCAGCACAUGCAGAUCCACAGGGUAUCAUGCAGUGUGUGUGCCUAGCAAGUCCACAGCUACACUUGCUUCUGUGCACUCUUUGAUUAAAUGCCUAGGUGAGAUUUUCAAAGGAAGCUGGUAGAAUCAGGUUACUUAUGUCAGUGUUACACUUUAUGUGGAGAAGGAAAUCUUUUGUCUUCUCCACUCAUCUUUCCACCAAGAAACAAUUUCCUUAGCUGUAGUGUGGUAACUUUUCCUUUUUGGGGUGGUGUAUCAAUAAGUAAUAAGUAUAUAAUUGUAUGUUGUUUAAUCCAAGAGCUGGAGAGUAGUGUUUGACUUAAUGUGCAAUUACUGUGUGCUGGUUAGUGAAAUUUACAUAUGAAACAUCAGGAAGUGCUUUUGCCAGUAGCAAGUGGAAUUAAUCUUAGUAAAUCACCAGAAUGCAUUUUCAGAGUGGUGACCUUGCUUUAUUGCUGUGGUGAUGCUGUUAACAAUAAGAUCUGAGUUCUGGAAGUUGGUAAGAUAUAUAAAGCAUUAUCACUUUCCCCCUUGGAUCUUAGAAUUAGUAGGCAGCUUAUUAUUAGAAAGUAUUAUUUUACUCUAUAAAUGUUUUCUGGGUUGUGCAUGGAGCAUCCAUCACAGGGGUUCUAUGUGUUUUACUGUUCCUGUGUUGCACCAGUGAGCUCCAGUGGUGGUACAGUUGUCAUCUCAUACUAAAAUCAUCCCACAUUGUGCUUCCCAAAAUGCUCACAUGCAGCAAGGAAUGAAAUGACUGUGCUAUAUUGAGGAGCACAAAUGUGAGCUCACUGGUGUGGCUGGAUCAACUGCUGCUGUCUUUUUCCAAAGCUAAUAUUGUUGGUAUAGAGGGAAAUCAGGAGCAUUGAGCUGCCAGGGAUAUUCCAUGCCUUCCUCCUUGCUGUGUUAUUGGGCACAGAUCCUGAUCUCAGGGGCUACUUUCUUGUGAAUUUGUGUAUUUCAUUCAGAAGUGGCAGUGUUUGUGCAUUCUGAAUGCUUCUUUCUUCCCCUCAAAGCCCUCCAAGUGUUAUGAGCUUCAUUUGAACGCUGGUUAUUAACUACCUAAAACCUGAAAUACUCUUGAAUUUAGAAAAGAUUUUAUAACAUUUGUAAACAACAAUAAGUGGGGAAAAAAGGUAAAAUUGUAUGUGUCAUUCUGUUUUCUACCACAUGCGAUUUGCAGUUCAAAGUGAAUAUAUUUAAAUAAACACCCCUGCAGCUACUGUUUACAGUAG